UCGCGACCCGUUGGGUGUCGGCCUACGGCCCGGUUGGUCGACUGUCGCGUCGCGUUCACGCGUGCACGCGGCAGACCACCGGAUGCCCGGCCGGCUGCCCGGCGGUAUAGAACGCAUGGUAUUGAGCCGCACUCUGUGUGCGUCCUGGCUCCUCGGCAGAUUCGCCUCACUCGGAUUUACGGACCUAGAGCCGUUGCCGGGUGCUUGGUGAGUUGUUAGUCGAGGAUGUCCUCGGACCGGCUAUUCCUUACCAGUCAGCGACGCUACUGCUUUGGGUACUUUCAGGACCCGUCUUGAAACACGGACCAAGGAGUCUAACAUGUGCGCGAGUCAUUGGGAUUUUUACACCUAAAGGCGCAAUGAAAGUGAAGGUCGACCUUGCGUCGACCGAGGGAGGAUGGCUAGCGUCACGAUGCGAGCCCGCACUCCCGGGGCGUCUCGUGCUCAUUGCGAGCAGAGGCGCACCCAGAGCGUACACGUUGGGACCCGAAAGAUGGUGAACUAUGCCUGGUCAGGACGAAGUCAGGGGAAACCCUGAUGGAGGUCCGUAGCGAUUCUGACGUGCAAAUCGAUCGUCGGAACUGGGUAUAGGGGCGAAAGACUAAUCGAACCAUCUAGUAGCUGGUUCCUUCCGA
rnacentral:rRNA from 1 species